CAAUAGCGUAUAUUAAAGUUGUUGCGGUUAAAAAGCUCGUAGUUGGAGUUCUGCCAGGUGCCGUCUGUCCGCCCCAGUGGUGAGUACGUGACGCGCAUUUGGCCCUUUCAAGGGGAGCGUAUCUGCACUUUACUGUGUGGUGCGGGAUCCUUGACUUUUACUUUGAGGAAAUAGGAGUGUUCCAAGCAGGCUCUCGUCGUGCACAGCUCAGCAUGGAAUAAUAGCAUUGGACCUCGAUUCUAAGCUGUUGGUUGCCAGAAGCGAGGUAAUGAUGAAGAGGGAUAGUUGGGGGCAUUCGUAUUUAACCGUCAGAGGUGAAAUUCUUGGAUUUGUUAAAGACGGACUACUGCGAAAGCAUCUGCCAUGGAUGUUUUCAUUGA
rnacentral:rRNA from 1 species